GACGAACGCUGGCGGCGUGCCUAAUACAUGCAAGUAGAACGCUGAAGAGAGGAGCUUGCUCUUCUUGGAUGAGUUGCGAACGGGUGAGUAACGCGUAGGUAACCUGCCUUGUAGCGGGGGAUAACUAUUGGAAACGAUAGCUAAUACCGCAUAGCAAUGGAUGACAAAUGUCAUUUAUUUGAAAGGGGCAAUUGCUCCACUACAAGAUGGACCUGCGUUGUAUUAGCUAGUAGGUGAGGUAAUGGCUCACCUAGGCGACGAUACAUAGCCGACCUGAGAGGGUGAUCGGCCACACUGGGACUGAGACACGGCCCAGACUCCUACGGGAGGAAGAAGUAGGGAAUCUUCGGCAAUGGGGGCAACCCUGACCGAGCAACGCCGCGUGAGUGAAGAAGGUUUUCGGGUCGUAAAGCUCUGUUGUAAGUCAAGAACGGGUGUGAGAGUGGAAAGUUCACACUGUGACGGUAGCUUACCAGAAAGGGACGGCUAACUACGUG
rnacentral:rRNA from 1 species